GUUAAGACCUAAGGUAAGCUAAUUAAAUACGUAACUGCUAUCCUGAUCAUGUUGGGAAAUGAAUUAAAAUGAGACCGCGCACUAAUGGUAGGUGUCACAAAAUGGUCAAAUUAUGGGCAAAAUAUCUUGCAAAUACGAUGAUUAUCAUACAAUUGUUGUGAAUACUGCCUUUAUUUAGUUUGUGUAAAUAGUCAUGUAACAUUUA